CCCUUAGAUGUUCUGGGCCGCACGCGCGCUACACUGACGAUGGCAACGAGUUUUUCCUUCGCCGAAAGGUGUGGGUAAUCUUUUGAAACAUCGUCGUGCUGGGGAUAGAUCAUUGCAAUUUUUGAUCUUGAACGAGGAAUUCCUAGUAAGCGCGAGUCAUCAGCUCGCGUUGAUUACGUCCCUGCCCUUUGUACACACCGCCCGUCGCUACUACCGAUUGAAUGGUUUAGUGAGGACUCCUGAUUGGCGCCGCCGCCCCGGCAACGGAGCAGCGGACUGCCGAAAAGUUGUUCAAACUUGAUCAUUUAGAGGAAGUAAAAGUCGUAACAA
rnacentral:rRNA from 1 species